AAGCUUGAACAUGAGGAGCUGGCCUCGUACAUCCUUGCGGGGCUGGACAUCGACUUCAAUCCUCUUAUCUCUACAGUGGCGGCGAGGUUAAACCCAUCUCCUUGGGCAAGCUAUAUACACAGCUCGUUGGCUUCAAGG
rnacentral:snoRNA from 1 species